CGUUAAAACAUUGGUUCGCGUACGAUCACCGAAGCUAAGCAACGCUGAGACGGGUAAGUACGUAAAUGGGUGACCGCUUGCGAAUACCAGCUGCUGUAAG